rnacentral:rRNA from 1 species
CUGAAAUUCGCCUUCAUGAAGUCGGAAUUGCUAGUAAUGGCAGGUCAGCAUACUGCCGUGAAUACGUUCCCGGGCCUUGUACACACCGCCCGUCACACCAUGAGAGUUGGAGAUACCCGAAGCCUAUGAGCUAACUUUUAGAGGCAGUAGUCGAAGGUAGAAUCAAUGAUUGGGGUGAAGUCGUAACAAGGUAAC